rnacentral:rRNA from 2 species
AGUGACGAUAGCCUAGGAGAUACACCUGUUCCCAUGCCGAACACAGCAGUUAAGCCCUAGAACGCCUGAAGUAGUUGGGGGUUGCCCCCUGUUAGAUAUGGUAGUCGCUUAGCA